rnacentral:rRNA from 1 species
UACGGGGGGAGCAAGCGUUGUUCGGAUUUACUGGGCGUAAAGGGCGCGUAGGCGGUCAGAUAAGUCAGCUGUGAAAACCUCGGGCUUAACCCGAGGCCUGCAGUUGAAACUGUUUGGCUGGAGUGUGGGAGAGGAGAGUGGAAUUCCCGGUGUAGCGGUGAAAUGCGUAGAGAUCGGAAAGAACACCAACGGCGAAAGCACUCUGCUGGGCCGACACUGACACUGAGAGACGAAAGCUAGGGGAGCGAAUGGG